GAUGAACGCUCGCGGCAGGCCUAAUACAUGCAAGUCGAACGGGUGGUCGCAAGACCACUAGUGGCGCACGGGUGCGUAACGCGUAACCAACCUGCCCCGAUCUGGGGGAUAGCCCGCCGAAAGACGGAUUAAUACCGCAUAUACCCGCAGCCUGGCAUCAGGCAACGGGGAAAGAUUUAUUGGAUCGGGAUGGGGUGGCGUGACAUGAGCGAGUUGGCGUGGUAAGGGCCCACCAAGGCGACGAGGUCUAGGGGAACUGAGAGGGUGAUCCCCCACACUGGCACUGAGAUCCGGGCCAGACUCGUGCGGGAGGCAGCAGUAGGGAAUAUUGGGCAGUGGGCGAGAGCCUGACCCAGCGAUGCAGCGUGGCGGAUGAAGGCCUUCUGGGUUGUAAACGGCUUUUAUCAGGGAAGAAAAAGACAUUGCGAGGUACACUGACGGUACCUGAGGAAUAAGCACCGGCUAACUCCGUG
rnacentral:rRNA from 1 species